rnacentral:tRNA from 1 species
GGGGUUGUAGUAAUACUACAGCCCUUUUUUAAUUACUGUUUCAGACAGAGAGCGUCCCGAUGCUUCGGGAAGGUCGUCGGUUCGAUCCCGAUCAGCUCCACCA